GAUGAACGCUAGCGGGAGGCUUAACACAUGCAAGUCGAGCGGGAUUAGCAGCAAUGCUCUGAGAGCGGCGCACGGGUGCUUAACGCGUAUGCAACCUGCCUUAUACAGGGGAAUAGCCCAUGGAAACGUGGAUUAACGUACUAUAUGAUUACAGACUCGCAUGAGACAGUGAAUACAAAUGAGGUGGUACAAGAUGGGCAUGCGUCUGAUUAGGUAGUUGGUAGGGUAAUGGUCUACCAAGCCGACGAUCAGUAGGGGUUCUGAUAGGAUUACCCCCCACACUGGUACUGGGACACGGACCAGACUCCUGCGAGAGGCAGCAGUGAGGAAUAUUCGUCAAUGGCCGGAAGGCUGAACCAGCCAUCCCGCGUGCAGGAUGACGGCCCUAUGGGUUGUAAACUGCUUUUGUACCUGAAGAAACCUGGUUACGUGUAACCAGUUGCCGGUAAGGUAUGAAUAAGCAUCGGCUAACUCCGUGCCAGCAGCCGCAGUAACAC
rnacentral:rRNA from 1 species